rnacentral:lncRNA from 1 species
UUACUAGUGCGUUUACAUAUUAUCAAUGUGCAACCAAUUUGCAAGAUACAACUCACACAUCUCAGAUUCAAGAAUAUAAGAUGUUACCAAUCACUCGUGAUACAAUUCAUGGAGUGAUAUAAGUGAGCGUGGGUUUAAUCCAAUGCUCAAAUCACAUUCAUAAGCACUCAUGAACGUUGCAGCAAACAUUUGCUUAUGUCUAAUGCUAUUUAGACAAUCCACACACCAAUUCACGACAGUCUUCAUUCAUAUCUACUUCCAACAUAUGAACGACUGUGGCCCGUUUGAAUAAUUCGAUUAUUCUUAAUAAACUCAAUUAUUCUGGAAGUCAAAACAUGCAAAUGUGAAACACAAGAAUAAUACUAAUCCCAUAUGGCCUCAAACCUUUGAGUAUAAAUAAAACUCCUUUUAUUUAUCACCAUAUCGAUUACUCAUUAUUUGUCGUUUCGGGUAAUCAACUUCUUACUUGAAUUACAACACUUGUCCCAUGCUCCUAGCAUGCACACAAUGUUUACCUAUGGUUCUUACUUUGUGAAAUAGAUCACAUUGAACACAUUUCCAAUCCUUCUCAUUUCACAACUCCAAAUCCGUUUUUCAUAAGUCAAAGAAUAUCAAAUUCUUGCUACUUAUAGAAUAUGCUAGAUUCUAACAUUCUAUGCAACUAUCCUUUCGUAAUGUCACUGCACCAAAGUCACAAAGACUAUUGCCAAUGAUAUUACAAAGUCCUCUAUCGGAGAUUGUUACAAGACAAUUCCAUAGAUAUGAUGUCUCUCACUCAAAGUACAUUCCUUUGAACAUCCUUUUGCAUAAAAGUUUCUAAUCUAGACAUAGAUUUUCAAUAUUCAAUUCCCAAUAUGGACACACUUCCAUAUUUUCCAUAUGACAACUCAUUCUUAAUAGAAUCUUAUCUAUUCGUAAUGAUGUCGAUAUGGUCCAUCCAAUAUGGAAACAUUUCCAUAUUUUCCAAUACUAUACUUCCAACUACUCACAAGCGACCAAUCCUCGUCGAACUUUGGAUUGUCCUUUGAUAGUUGUUUAAUUGUUUUAGUCAAAACCAAUUCUAGUCCCUUUUCCCUCUAAAUGCGCUCGACAUUUGGAAAAUUUUAGAAUGGUCAAACAUUAAAGCAUUUGCAAUCGAUCCUAUACCCGAAGCGUAUGGGACACGACGCAUAAUGUUUUAUUUGCUAUGUUCUCAAAAUUCGAAUUGUGAAGAGGGAUGCCGUAAUCAUAAUCGAAAUUUUAAGAACACACUAUGUACCUUUGACUAAAUUUAUUAACAUUUCUCAACCUAAUCCUUUAGAUUUGAAAUGAAGCAUAAUAUUCUCUCCCUUAAUUAUAGCAAAACAACUUUUCAACUCUUACAACUUUGCAAAGUAUGACUCUUGUUUUCUAUAAUUAAUAUUGCUAACCUUGCAAUACUUUCCUUAAUAAUCAUACAAUCAUAACAUUUAUGCUCCCACUAUCAUGAUGAUUAUUAUAAAACAUAACACUUAUGCUCCCACUAGCUUCGACAUGUAUUCAUAAACAUCUUAACUUUCAGAAAACAAUACUUAUUGAAUUUCUUAAGUUCAUGUUUCUAAUACUUAGUGCUUUGAUAAUCCUUUAUCAAUGCUUCUUGAACUUAUACACCUUUGCCUUCGAUAGUUCAUAUGUGUGUCUAAACAAUUAAGACUAAUUGCCAAACCUCACAAUUCAAAUUAUGGAAAGGGAUGCCGUAACCAUAAUUGAAUUCGAGAAUGCAAUUUUACAAUCACUAUCUUCUUAAAAUCUUUCUUAGUGAAAGCAUUUCCUCACAAUCAUUUUCAUGAAGGAGGAAAUCUUAUGACACUUAGAUUUAAACGGUGUAUGUGUUCCUAUCCAUGUGAAUUUGUUAAAACCAAAGUUUACGACAAAUUCAAACUCAUAUGGACCGAACUUUCUUAAUCUUGAUUUCUUGCCUUAUGGUAGCACAGCUGCCCACCAUGUCUUCCAAGUAGUUAAGCAGCUCACCUUUUCCUAUCAAUGUACCUUUCAUUGAUUAAGGUGCUUUGCCUUUUAUGCGUUCAAAAUGAGAACUCAUAGAACUCACAUGCAUAAUUAACUCGAUUGGAUUGGCACAGAAUCAAAAUAAUGUCAACACGAUAGGUUGUAAACCUCAACUCGUGUGCUAGUGAUGAUCGAUAAGGUUUAUUUGAUUUGUUCUUGAAACCUUUCAAGACCAUUAAGACUCCCACUGACUCCUUGACAUAUAAGAUUCUCUUGUCAAUAACCAUUUCUUGACAAACAAAUAUUCAAGAGUUAGUGUAGCUUUUAUCAAAACACUUCAUAAAUUGGUCCUAGUUGGUCUUUGUCUUAUCCAAGACAUCACAACUUUCCACAUUUAAUGAAAGUUACAAACCUUCUUAAUACCUUUCACUCAAUGUCACAAUCUUAACUUUAAGACUUGUUAUUGGAACGAAGUAUGAUUGACUUAUUGAUUUAACCAUUUCUUCAAUUCUUGAUUCCUCUUCUUAGACAUACAAUUGUACUAAGACUCACUUAGAGGAUCAAUUGAGAUAUGGUUCUUAAUCAUUAAGACCUAUCAUAAAGCAUAAAAGGUACUCUCCCUUCUUCUUAGAAUGGAGAAACUUUUAUCUUUCUGCCUACUUGAUUCUUCUUAUUCGUUCUGCUAUUGAUUUAAACCUUUUCAAUCAAUUCAGAAUUACACUUAAUCUUAUAAGUAUAAUCAUAUUUACUAAACCUUUAGUAAAUCAUGACGAAUAUCUUUGUUACUCUUAUGGUGGACUUGAUCAACACGCAACUUUGUGUACUCGAUCUCCUAGUCCUUCACUUGACACUUUGUCAAUGAAUUAGUCUAAUUUCCAAAUAUGAAAUUUCUCAUUCAUCGUGCAACCAAGUUGCAUGAUUCCAAGUUUCUGUCCAAUUGAAACUUGGGCGAUGAGAAACUCUCCCUAUUUGGUAAAUUCUCGACUUUCCAUAAAUAACAUAAUAAGAACCAAAUCCAUUAUUGCUAAUAAUAGAAACAUUUUAACAUCAAUUUUUCAUACACGCCAUUGUAAGGAUAAAUAAAUAAAAUUUAAAAUCAAAAUUUAUUUUAUUGCGGAAAAAUUUGUCCUUACAAUGCAAUUCAUUGAAAAACUUAUGCUAAUACAUCUUUCUUAGCAAUCUAAUUCUAACUCUAAGUAGUAGCUCAAGAAUCUAAUCUUCGAGAAAUGCGAUCGAAAUCCAUUCCUUCACGGUUAGAUUCUGCUCACUUCUUCCCUUAAGCUUCCUUUCUUUUCUUCGAUCCUACAAAACAUCAAUUGUAAUCUUAUCACAUUAUGUAUUAAGAAUCUAGAAUAGAAGCUUAAAAGAGUUAGUUAAUGGAUUUUACCUAUAUUAGAGCCAUACGUUUCGACUCUCCCAUCUCUUAGAUCUCUUAGGUAAAUGGGGCAGCUUCGUCUCCAAUGCCCUUUCUCUUGGCAAUAAAAGCAAAUUGACUCUUUUGGAACAUGACAUGGAACUACUUCAGACAUUGCCUUUCUCUUAUGAUCAAACUUUUCGAUCAUAGCAUGUCUUUCGUUGCCAUUGUCUAUAUCCAUAGAGGUCUUGAAGGCAGAUUCACCAAUCAACUUUGCUUUUCUAUUGCGCCAAACCAUUGCUGAUUCAGCAGCAAUAAGCAUAUAGGUGAGAUCUAUAAGGGUCACGUCGCGGUUCAUCAUAUAGUACUCUCUUACGAACUCACUAUAUGAGUUAGGAAGUGACUGAAGAACCCAAUCAACAGCCAUUUCCUCACAGACAACGGAUCCCAACAUUCUUAACCUAUCAAUGUGUGACUUCAUCCCUAGGACGUGUGCACACACCGACUUUCCUUCUUUAUGUUUACUUGCCAAAAGGGCUUGAGUGAUCUUGAACUUUUCAAGCCUUUGAACUUGUGGGUUAGGGAGAAUAAUUGGAGGAGGUGGAGGAAGUGAAGCAUGAUUUCUUGUUCCUCGAUCGAAUCGUGGAAUAUCAUCUUCAUGUGGAAUGCUUGUUCCACGGGAUUUGGGAAGACCAUAGUUGUCGAACUUUGACAUCUACAAAACGGGAGAAAACGAAUUCAAGUUAGUUGAUUGAUUGAGUCCUUAGUAAAUCACCCAAAUGAGAUACUAAGGCUAGGACCCAACACAAUAUUCUACAACUCGGGAGAGGGAUGCCGUAACCCAAAUUGCAGAACAUUUGAAGGUAAGUGAAUGACGAUUCACUAAUUUCCACCAUGAAAAACGAAAAAGAAAUUUAAGUUUUAAAUCUAUGAAAACUCCUAGAUCCUUUGAGAUUCAUUGAACAUUUCAAUGGCAUGUUUAAAUCUCGAUAUGCCCCUCUAGUUUGUGACUGGGAUGCCGAGGAUCACAAAGCGGGUGUGAAUAACCAUGCAAACUUACAUGGUGCCCUCACAUGUUACAGUCACCUAUUCGAUGUGCCGGUAAACCACACACGCUCCACCGAACUAUGACAAACAUUGAGUCACCCUUUGCUACCUUUGCUUAGAACCAUUUAGUGUGCCGGUAAACCACACACGCUCCACUAACGUCUUCGCAAGGGCACAAAGUGUAAUUUCAUGGAAUUGCAUCAAUUCACUUUUGCCUAAGUAACUAAGAUUGGGAAUUUUAUGAAAACAUUUAGUUACUUUUAUACUUCAUUAUACUUAUAAUGGAAGGUUUCGUCCUAUCCUACCCGUUCGGCUAACGACCCUCCACUAGUCAAGAGUGCGGUGGGUAAGAGUGGAUACCCAUUCAAUCGCCAUUUUAUAGGCAAUUUCCUUAAACACCCCUUAUAGACCAGCUUCGUGAAUGAGGCCUACUAACGGUAAGACUGACUUUUACUCAUACAUAUAUAUAAUGUUAGACUUUUAAUGUUAUAUAUAGUAUAGGGUGUAUUUUACACUUUUAAAAUACUAGGUGGUCAAAUUUAACAAUUAUACUUUUAAUUCAAUUAAAUUGUAAACCAAAACUUUUAUGGAUUUAUUAAACCUCUUUUAAUUAUACACCUUAAUUAAUUAAUAAAACCAUAAGGGUGUGAUUUGAACUUUUUCAAAACAAUACUAGAGUUUUAGAAUUUAACAUUCCUAAUUAAACUUUUAAUCAACUUUUAAAUUCCAAAACUUGAGGGCAAGUUUUGAAACAUUUCAACACAUUAGGGUUUAGAAUUUAAAUAUACAUCAAAAUUAAACUAUUUAAUCAAAAUUUAAAUUCCAAAACUUGAGGGCAAGUUUUGAAACCUUUUUCAAAACAUUAGGGUUUCAACUAUUUAAAUUUCAAAACAACAAAACUUUUGGGUUCAAAUUUAAACUAUAAAACCUAAAGGGGAAAAUAUGAAACUUUUCAUAACAACAAGGAUCAAAUAACAAAUAAUUUAAAUUAACAUUUAAUCACAUAAUUAUCCAUAUUUGAUUUAUUUAAUGAUUUCUUGCAAAACAAUUUAUCAAUUUAAUCAAAAUAAUUAAUCAAUUAUCACAUAAGGAAACAAUUAUCUUAUUAAUUGAUAAAUAUCUUCAAUUAGAUCAAAAAUAUAGUCAAAUAUAUCAUAUAAUCGGAUUAAUAUUGAUCUAACAUGAUAAGGUAACUAUCCAUAAGCAAAAACAGCAAGAAAUCCCGAAGUACCCUCCUUCUGACGAGUUGACUCGUCGAGUCAGCCUUGGACUCGUCGAGUCACCUUGGACUCGGCGAGUUCAGCCAUGGACUCGGCGAGUCCAGCCUCCAGAAACCCAAAAAACGAAUUUUCCAGUUAUACAAUGCAUCAAUACAAUUGAAACCAAGCUAGGCUCUGAUACCACUGAUGGGUUUUGGUCAUAAGACAUCCUAUGUGCUCAUACAAACCCUAAUGCUUGGAUCUAGGUUUCUCUAUUGUACAUGCUUUGAAUCCAAGACUAUAAACCCUAAUUCUAGCAUAUGGAAAUCAAUAUUAACAUAUAAUUAGGUUUAAGAUAUUACCUUGAUUGUUAUGUAGCAAUAACAAUCCCAAUUCCUCCUUGAAUUGACUUUGGAAGGCUUAGAGUCACAAGUGUCACUCCUCUAAUGGCUUACAAACACCAUAAGCAAGAGGAUGAAGAGGAGAGAGGAUAGAGGCUGCCCAAAACGUGUUCUAACCCUAGAAAAGAAGUUCCCCACGUUUUUGAGCCUUAAGGGUUCUAUAUAUAGUGAGGCUAUUAGGGUUAUCUAACAAGGAAACCCUAAUUUGGUUGCUUAAGCCCUAAGCAACCCAUAGACUCCUUUAAUCAAGCCCUUGGACGAUUUCCUUAUGGGCUUCCCAUAAGAAUUCGUCCACCUCUUGAUUUAAGACAAUCCAUGGCCCAAAUUGCAAUUAUCUUAUAAUUACAAUUCCAGUCCCUUAAGUUUAAUUAAUCUCUUUUAGUCACAAAACUAAUUACCAAUUAAUUAUUGACUAAUAUUAAUUAAACAAUAUGAUUUCUCCUUUAAUAUAUUAUUCCCAUAAUAUAUUAAUAAAUCAUAUUUAAUCCUUUCUCUCCAUAAUUCAUCCUAUCAAGUUGCUUUGGUGAAGGCAACCCAAAAGGACCAUGCACCAUCGGGUCAAGUACAUACCAAAAUUGUUAUGGACUUAGACACUAAUCCAACAAGUACUUCUAUCUAAUGUUGUUUUAAAGCUUCAUAUAUGCUUAAUACACUAGAAAUCAUAGGAAAACACUAAGACCUGUGAGUUUACCGCCCAACAACACCUUGGGGAGUAAACUCCUUUAUAAGGGCCAAAGUGUGCCCAAUGCCCCUCCAAGCCUUAAAACUCAACCUAGAAGCUACCAUUACAUGUUUAGACCACAAAUUCAUUAAGAAACAAAGGCUAGAAGUGACUUCACGGCCAAGGAUGUUCUUGGGCCGUGAACUCCAUUUUUAGGUGCCAAAACACCCUAAAAGCCUUCCUUAAGCCAAGAUACUAGUUUAGACAUGUACCCUAAUGAGUUGAGGACUAGCAAACACCCUUAGAACACCAAGAGUAAGAUGUUCACGGCCCAAGAAGUUCCAGGGCCGUGAACUCCAAACAAUAGUGCCAAAUGGUGCUAUAAACUCUUCUAAAGCCUUGUACACUAGCAUAGUUUAGUUCCUAGUUGAUUUAGGGACUUGAAAACACCAAGAACACCCAUCCAAGGGAGAUUACGGCCGUAAUCUCCAUGGGAUAUGGUCCCAGGGCCGUAAACUCCUAAAAGGAGUUAUAUAAUGCCCUGAACUCUUCCAUGGACCAAGCCAUUAAGUAGAAAUGCUUCUUAGGGCCUUAUAGGGCAUCAAACAUCAAAUGGACAUAUAAGUAUGAGCUCACGGUCGUAAACUCAUGAGUUUACAACUGUAAACUCAUUUAGUAGUGUCAUUAGGGCAGUGAACUUCAUGAAGGAGUAUUCCUUGAGCCCUAUACACAAUAGCUUCCCCUACAAACACUUAGAUGCAAUCCUAGAGGCUAAUAACACUUGAUAAAGGUGUUUAGCAUGUCCUAGGGUGUCUUGACUUGUUUAUUAGUUGUUUAUAGACUAAUUUGUUACAUAUAUGUGAUAUUAUAUGUUAACUAGGAUCAUAGAGUGUGUUCAAGACUUCACUUGACACCUAGCAGUCCUACCUCUUCAGUUCAUCCGUAUCACCCACAACAGGUGAGUUCAUACCCCUUAAUCAAUGUUUUAACUGUUUUUAAAUGUUUUAUGCGGGGGGGAUACAAGUAGAAUCAUGCUAGUUAUUAUAUCAAUCACUUGUGAUUAAUAAGCAACAUUUAAAUGAUUGGCUACUCAUUAGCCGUUUUACCAAACAGUUUCCUUCAAAUGUUUAACGUAAUCACUUAUUAUGUUUAAAACUCCUCAUUAAAUUGUACAUUUUACUCUGUAUGUUCCAUUCAAACUCUUUUACAAUUGUGUUUCAAACAAAUGUUUCCUUAUACUUAAACUGUUUAAUCAAACCCAUGUAUUCAAACCGUUUUAUAGAUUGACAUCAAGUCGAUCUUUUCUUAGAUAAUAGAACUUAUUUCAUGCUUUUAUAUUAUCAAUUUCAUGCCUAUAUAUGUAUAGCUAUACAAGAAAUGUUUAAAAGACUUAGGAAGGCUAUCCACCCUAUUUCCUUUUCGCGCUUGAGAUGUGGUCUGGUGGGACAUCGGGUAUCCGUCUGAAGGUUGUUUAAAUAUUAGUUAUAUAUCAUAUGUACAUAUAUAGUCAUAAAGGUCCUUCCAGUUCAUCCAACGCCCUUGGUUAUCAAGGGUAUACAUCCAUGUUCAUAGGUACCAGUUAAAUUACUAGUAAGCUACCAUAUGUGUAGUUUAGGAAGAUACUAGAACUAUUACUAGAACGCGAUAUCAUAUAAUGAGUCAGUACAUUCAUGAGUCAAUACUUGCUAGAUAGAGAGAACAUACAUUACAACUAGUACUCACAGUACAUUACUAUACCUGCUAGAUAGAGAGAGAACACACACAUUACAGCUAGCACACAUAGAACAAUUUACAAUACAUUACAUAUACAAUUAUACUUGAAGAAGAACAUAUACGAUUAUACUAGGAAGAGAAUAUAUACAAACAAUACUAGAACGAGUAACAAUACAUUACAUAUACAUGAAUACGUUAACAAUUGUGAUCCACUGUAUCGGAGCAUGCCUUCAAUGUCAUGGCCCGAGUUGCAGCCAGAGUCUCUUGGAGGGAGAGCGUGAGUUUGCGUAUAGAUCUAUACUGGAUUGACUAUCCUACACCUUGCUACUAGCUACAGUCGGACAUGCAGGUCUGCGGGUGCCAAACGUCAUACCUUCUUACGACCAACAUUUGUCGUUGUUACCUAGUCGAUAGUAUGGUACAAUUAUUCACAUGAUGCCUUAAUAUAAAUCCGGUUUAAGGUAGUUAGUACAGCAGUAGUUCCUAUAAUAUGACACUGCAGUACUACAUUAAUUUCCCCUUUACAUAUAUUUAGUGAUCAUUUCACUUAAACAUUAAAUGUACAAACUAUGUUUUGUUAAUGAUAGUUACACUUGGGAAAAUUACACACUUUUACAUGAAUCGAACAUUUAGAACAGUUAAGUAUUGGUAGAAGACUACAUUAAGAACAGUCGGGUCUUGGUAGAAGGCUACAUUCAGAGCUGUUAGGUCUUGGUAGAAGGCUACAUUUAGAACAGUUAAGUCUUGGUAGAAGACUACAUUUAGAACAGUUAGGUCUUGGUAGAAGACACCCUUACAUAAUAGUAGGAAUCAUAGGGAUUUCUAGGGUUUUUCAAACGUUUAUAGUUGUUUUACAAAACAUUUUUAUACUUACAGUUCAUAUACAUUUCCAAUACUUACAAUUCAUAUACAUACAAAUACUUACAUACAAAUUAAAACACUAAAAUACUUAUGAUCUCACCAGCUUUAAAGCUGAUACUCGCUUUCAAAAUACUUGUAUCCUCAUGUCAACGAUAGACAGGUACCGAUGCAAGGUAUAGAGAAGAUGGAGCUCGUUCAAGACUUACCUUUCAUUUUGUUUAUACUUUAGUGUCUAUUAUAAUUUGACAUAACACUUGUAUUAAAAUUAUAUUAUUAACGCAAUAGAUGAUGUUGUUGCUUAUUUACUACUUUUCAUUGUUGUGAUACUGUACAUGACGUCCUCCGCCCCAGAACGUUUCUGCCGUUCUUGGUUUUGGGGUGUGACACAUCUCAAAUAAACUAACAAUAUAACUACACAUAGCAUGUAUAUUAUAGAAAAUACUUCAUAUCUAUGUGUAAGAUGAAAGUGACUACACACUCACUUUAUAGGAUGGCAGUUGGACAACACUUCGUCUCUUAAAACAAUCUUUUUCGAUGAAAUCGGGAUGUUUUCUUAAAAACUGGGCUUCAUGCGGGCAGAUUUUUUAAUCGAAAAACUCUUUUCUCGGGAUCUUCGGGCUCUCCGGGACUUGCUUACGAUGCUAGGAUGAUAUUAUAGGCUUGCGGUUAUUUAGUGUAGCGCGGAAGAGAGUAGAAGGGUGAAAAAGUAAUUUUUGUAACCAUUUUCAGGGCAGCCUCGCAUCUUAUUUAUAGGAGGCCGAAGCUCCUUAUUACGUUGGGCGUAAGUCUUCGGUACGUGGGGCGUACUGCUUUGCACAUCUCUUCACUGGGCGUACGAAGUGGAUCAGCUCGGACGCGUCAAGGAAACGACACGUGUCUCUCAUGCGAAGGAGUAAGGGGUGACGAACUCCGGAUCACUUACACGAGUACGAUGGGCAUACUCCUGCGAAGCAGCCUUGAAGUUUGUGCCGAAAACUUCAAAAAUUCAUAACUUUCUCAUACGAACUCCAUUUUUGACGUUCUUUAUAUCCAUGCGUAGGUGAAAUUAUGCUCUACAACUUUCGUUUAGACUCUGUAGGCUAAUUUUGAUUUAUUUUUAAAACUAUAUUUUUAACAGGUUGGGACAGGAAAAUUCCAUUGAAAAUUCAUAGCUUCUUCAUCCGACGUCCUUUUUCAUUUGUCUUUUUACCGUUAAACUACUAUCAAAGAGAUCUUCGAUUCUUGUUUAGGUUGUGUGGGCUAAAAAUCGCUCGAUGUAUAUUUCGAAUUCCAGGCUGCAUACUAUUAAGCCAAAUCUUAGAAAAUUCAUAACUUCCUCAGACGAAGUCAGGUUUGGACAUUAUUUUAAUGUACGCUCUCGGUUUAACGUAUACUACGACUUUGAUUUAGAUCGAUAAGGCUAAAAAUCACUUUAUCGUAAAUUCACUUUUUACGUCUCUUAGCGUUGUGUCGGUUUUGUCGCGAAACUUCAACAUGUCAUAACUUCUUCGUUAUAACUCGGAUUUCUGUAUUCUUUAUAUCUACAGAACCCUUGCUUCAACCACUACAACUUUCUUCAUAGAUAUCAAGUUUAUCUAAUAUUUAUUUUCGAUGCUUAUUUUUAUCCUUAAUUUAUUAAAUCAUAAUAAUCAAGUAUAAGCACACAGUAUUCAAAUAAUACAUUUUUAUUACUUCAAAACAAGUUACAACGGUUGACCUAGACUAUUACAUCAUCUUUAAUGCUUUAGCCCAGAAACAUGGGUAUUACACUCAGGUCAGGGAGCAGAGUUCAGUUUCAUAGGUACCAAUUGGCAGGGAAUUUGCCAAUGUUAUCCCCAAGGAAUUACCCAACAUGGCUCCGAAGAGGCAGGUUGAGUUCAUGAUUGAUCUAGUGUUGAGUGCGGUACAGAUUGACAAUAUGUCAUACUGUGACAUCUAAGAUUUAUCAGGUUUGCUUUUGAACCCUUUAGUUUGAUUUAGUUGUACAUUAGGCACCCCGAAGAUAAAUCUUGAAUUUUUAGUCUUGAUCAUGUACGUGGGGCAUACGUCCUUGUACGCGUAGUGUAAUGGACUACGUGUGAGUACGUUGUGCGUACUACAGUACGUUAGGCGUACAUGGCUCAGGUUAAAACAAUGGGAACCCAUUUUAUCGAUUGGAUUGGUGUGGAAAGAUAAUAUCAGGAAGAUAAUCGUAUAAACAUGAUGAAUACAAUAUGUGCAUAAGAUUGUAGUGGAUAGACAAAGAGAUACAACAUAAUACAAGAAGAACACUCAUGGAUGGGGAGAAUACCCAUCCAAACACACAAACUCUCUCUAAAGUGUACAUAGUGUACACAUACAUACAAAUGACCCUCACCUCCACCUUAUAUACUAGUGGAGGGAAUAGGCUUUUCAUACAAGGGAAUAUUCUAACCUAAUAAACAAUCAUCAUUGUAGAGAACUUUUACGCUCCAACAAUCUACCCCUAAAUGCUUGGAUAUGGUGAGGGUAAUACAGUGACAAAAGGCAGAACAUCCGACGGGCAGGUCUGGUAGGUCUGGUGCUGAAGCGUCUCGGAAAAGCUGAAGCAGUCGUGACUUAUGAAUCUGGCAAUGGAGUCUCUAUCAUCAAAGAACAUACAUAGGAACCCAAUCUCUGAAUAAAAAUAUGAAAUUCUAAUCUUCGAAUGUGAUCAGUCCCCAAAGACUAAUCAUGUUCACAAUCUCCCCCUCGAGUCUUCGAAUCACACAACAUCCUCAAUAUUCCAAACUCAAGUGAUAAUGCACCAUACAAUCUUUGAAGAAUAACCUGCUGAAAAUGUGAAGCAUGCAAAAAUAUAGUCUGAAUGAUAAAUAAUGUGAAUCCUAAGACAUGGUCUAGCAAUGCCAAAAAUUUGACCAGAUGAUCAAAAAUAAGUGCCACGUCACAUCGCCAAAAUAAGCUUCGUCUUCAAAUAUAUCACAAAUCCAAACUUGAACAAUCAUAAGAUCUGAUCCAGAUGCAAACACAAAUGAGACAUCCCAAAGUAGGAUGUGAAGACAAAUAAUCAUAAUCAGAAGAACGUCUAAUAAUGCCAAAAAUUCCAUCAGUAAAGAUUAAAAAUCAAUGUCACAUCACAAUACUAAAUCGAUCUCCGUCUUCAAAUGUCUCUAACUCAAAACUCCAAUAAUAAACCAUAAUGGAUGCUCAUGAUUCUCCCCCUAUUUUUCAUUGAACAUGCAAUAAAGAUAAAAAAUAAUCAUGAAAUCGGGCAAGAGAAUAUCUUGGAUAUGAUAGAGCAUCAUACGCUCCCCCUUGAUGUGACCAUCUACCUGUAAAAUGUAGAUAUUAUUUUUCAAGUCAUGGGUAGACUAGGUGAUGUAUUGCUGAACUGAACGAACACUGUAGAAUAUAUAUGAAAAAAAUCCCGUUGCUGAAGAAUCAUAAUGUUGAACUGAAGUUGUAACGCUCCAAAAAUCCAAGGUAAAAAUUUUAUUCUUAAUAUACUCAAAACAAUAUCAUAACUUUGUUCAAUACAUUGAAAAGCAAUUCAAAUAAACAAUUAUCAGAGUCCAUGUCACACCCCCAAACCAGAACGACGGAAACGUUCGGGGGCGGAGGACGUCAUAUUCAGUAUCAUAACAGUUCAUAGUAACGGAAGUACACACCACCAUAAAUAUAAAGGUUUCAAAAUGUUUACAUAGUUGUAUUUGUUACAUGUUCAAAAGAUAAAUACAUAAACAUCUUUCAAAAGAAGUAAUUAACGACAGCGCGUUAAUCCCCAAAAGUUGAUUUCCAAACCUGCUUAGUGGUUCCCUGAGAAUACAAGUUAUUUCAAAGAAAAAGUGUCAUCAAUUAAGUUGGUGAGUUCAUAAGCGGUUUUGAGAAAAUGUAUGCCAUUCUAAAGCUUGUGCGUUUUCCAAGAAAAUCCCUUAUUUUCUUAUAAAAGUAUGAAAUGCAUAUGAAUAUUCGUGUUGUAAAUUGUAAAUAGUUGAAUCAGGAAAAUCCCUUAUUUUACUAUUAGUUGAUUGUUUUGGAUACAGGAAAAUCCCUUAUUUUCCUAAAGUAACAGGCAGUCUAAUGUUCAAGACCGAAAAUCAAAAGCAACUGACAUGCUUAAAGAUUGAGGCAUAGUUUCAUAUAAUAAAACUAUAAGAAGAUUGUACUUUUUAGAUGAAGAAUAGUUUUAAUAGCUACUCAUUGAUAAAUCAGGAUACUAUAAUAAUUGUCUAUCCAGUGAGUUUGAUAACCAUACUAAACAUAAUAUGCUUGUGGCGACGGUCUUCAGGCGUCGGAACGUUAUGACAAACUAUCCCCCAAAGGACUGUAGCUAACAGUCAGGGUGCGGGAUCAUGAAUUCCCGUAUAGAUCUAUACACAUUUGACACGAUCUCCAAACGGGAGACUCUGGUUAUAAUAGACAGGACUUUAAGUAGUACCUUUUAUCGAAAAGGUAGCAUUUGAAGAUGUAAUCAUCUCACGGAUUCUCAACUAAGUCUGUAUUAAAAUUAUAGUUUUGUAUACAAAGUUUAUCCUUUUUCACAAUGUUUGACAAAGCAUAAAUCAUAAGUUCUUUGAAUGCAUAAAAUGGUUUAACAAUGAUGGCUACCUUGGAAUACUAUGUACUUUGUUUAAAUCUAAUGCAUGCAAAGUAUAACAAGAGUUUUCACGUUUUCACUCGGAAUUAACCGGAUGUUUACUUGUAUUCUCCACCAAAAUGUAUUAAAAGUACAUUAAAAAGUAUUUGAAAUUGUAUAGAAGGGUAUAUGAACUCACUUGAUUGAAGUGGUGGUUUUGAAGUAGUCGAGAGAAGAAUCGACCAGAACCUCGACUAGAAAAGUUGAAAGUGAUGGGUUUUGGUCAUAAGAACAUCCUAUGUGAUCAUACAAACCCUAAUGCUUGGAUCUAGGUUUCUCUAUUGUACAUGCAAGUUAUCAAAGACUAUAAACCCUAAUUCUAGCAUUCAAGUGAUCAUAUUAACAUGAGAAUAGGUUUAAGAUGUUACCUUGAUUGUUAUGUAGCAAUAACAAUCCCAAUUCCUAUUUGUAUUGGCUUUAGAAAGCUUAGAGUCACAAAUGUCACUCCACUAAUGGUUCACAAACACCAUAAGCAAGAGGACGAAGAGGAGAGAGGAUGGAGGCUGCCCUAAAACAUGUGAAACCCUAGAAUGUUGCUUGUCCACGUUUUUGGUCCUUUAGGGAUCUAUAUAUAGUGAUGCUAUUAGGGUUAUCUAACAAGGAAACCCUAAUUUGGAUGCUUAAGCCCUAAGCAACCCAUAGACUCCUUUAAUUAUGGCCUUGGACGAUUUACUUAUGGGUUUCCCCAUAGAAUUCGUCCACCCCUUAAUACAAGGCAAUCCAUGGCCCAAAUUGCAAUUAUCUUAUAAUUACAAUUCCAGUCCUUUAAGUUUAAUUAAUCUCUUUUAGUCACAAAACGAAUUACCAAUUAAUUCUUGACUAAUAUUAAUUAAACAAUAUGAUUUCUCCUUUAAUAUAUUAUUCUCAUAAUAUAUUAAUAAAUCAUAUUUAAUCCUUUCUCUCCAUAAUUCAUCCUAUCAAGUUGCUUUGGUGAAGGCAACCCAAAAGGACCAUGCACCAUCGGGUCAAGUACAUACCAAAAUAGUUAUGGACUUAGACACUAAUCCAACAGUCUCCCACUUGGAUAAGUCUAAUAACUAUUCUGCGUAUGACUUCAGAUCCUGAUCUGCAAUCGUAGCUUUCCAAAGCCGCUGUCAACUCUGAUCAUAUCAGAUACGCGUGUCCUUAGAUAAGGGAUCAUAUAUUCCUCCAUUCUAGAUAUCAUAUGAGAUAUGAUUUCAAAUCAUUCUCUUUGUACUAUAUCUCGAUUCCCGAUUUAUGACGACUGACUAAUUGAACAAAUCAAAUUAGCCCUAGCCCGGCCGAGCAUUUACGUUUGUCAUCACUAAAUCAUCGAGGGGCCCAAAGAUAUCGCUUUUAUCCUACUUUGGAUAAAAGGAACGGAUAAACUUUGAUACAAUGCUUGCUUGCACUUACUCACCGAAUCACACACAACAAUAUGUUUUAUAACACCAAGUUACUAGUGCGUUUACAUAUUAUCAAUGUGCAACCGAUUUGCAAGAUACAACUCACACAUCUCGGUUUCAAGAAUAUAAGAUGUUAUCGUCUCACCAAUCACUCAUGAUACAAUUCAUGGAGUGAUCCAAGUAAGCGUGGGUUUAAUCCAAUGCUCAAAUCAUAUUCAUAAGCACUCAUGAACGUUGCAGCAAACAUUUGCUUAUGUCUAAUACUCUUUUAGACAAUCCACACACCAAUUCAUGACAGUCUUCAUUCAUAUCUACUUCCAACAUAUGAACGACUGUGGCCCGUUCGAAUAAUUCGAUUAUUCUUAAUAAAUUCAAUUAUUCUGGAAGUCAAAACAUGCAAAUGUGAAACACAAGAAUAAUACUAAUCCCAUAUGGCCUCAAACCUUUGACUAUAAAUAAAACUCCUUUUAUUUAUCACCAUAUCGAUUACUAAUUAUUUGUCGGUUCGGAUAGAAGUCAUAGAACAUUAGUAUUUGUCCUUAAUAAAACACCUAGGUCCGAGUGUGAAGGACAGGCAUCAUUAGAACUUAGUCAGUUAUAGAUACUACUCCCCUAGACACGAGAGUAAAGAUUAAUCUUAAAGAUUGGAGAC